UUUGUAGGGUCCAGUUUGUAGGGUCAGAUUUAUUGGGUCCAGUUUGUAGGGUCCAGUUUGUAGGGUCAGAUUUGUUGGGUCCAGUUUGUAGGGUCAGAUUUAUUGGGUCCAGUUUGUAGGGUCAGAUUUAUUGGGUCCAGUUUGUAGGGUCAGGUUUAUUGGGUCCAAUUUGUAGGGUCAGGUUUAUUGGGUCCAGUUUGUAGGGUCAGGUUUAUUGGGUCCAGUUUGUAGGGUCAGAUUUAUUGGGUCCAGUUUGUAGGGUCCAGUUUGUAGGGUCAGGUUUAUUGGGUCCAGUUUGUUGGGUCAGGUUUAUUGGGUCCAGUUAGUAGGGUCCAGUUUGUAGGGUCAGGUUUAUUGGGUCCAGUUUGUAGGGUCAGGUUUAUUGGGUUCAGUUUGUAGGGUUGGAUCUGUAGGGUCCAGUUUGUAGGGUCAGAUUUAUUGGGUUCAGUUUGUAGGGUCAGGUUUAUUGGGUUCAGUUUGUAGGGUCCAGUUUGUAGGGUCAGGUUUAUUGGGUCCAGUUUGUAGGGUCAGGUAUAUUGGGUUCAGUUUGUAGGGUCAGGUUUAUUGGGUUCAGUUUGUAGGGUCGGAUCUGUAGGGUCCAGUUUGUAGGGUCAGGUUUAUUGGGUUCAGUUUAAUGGGUUCAGUUUGUAGGGUCAGGUUUAUUGGGUCCAGCUUGUAGGGUCAGGUUUAUUGGGUCCAGUUUGUAGGGUCAGGUUUAUUGGGUCCAGUUUGUAGGGUCAGGUUUAUUGGGUCCAGUUUGUAGGGUCCAGUUUGUAGGGUCAGGUUUAUUGGGUCCAGUUUGUAGGGUCCAGUUUGUAGGGUCCAGUUUGUAGGGUCAGGUUUAUUGGGUCCAGUUUGUAGGGUCCAGUUUGUAGGGUCAGGUUUGUAGGGUCAGGUUUAUUGGGUCCAGUUUGUAGGGUCCAGUUUGUAGGGUCCAGUUUGUAGGGUCAGGUUUGUAGGGUCAGGUUUGUUCAGGGUUCUGGUAUCAGACUCCGAUAAACCCACCCCUCCUCUUCCUCUGACCCUCAGGACAGCAGCUCCAGCACCGACAGUCUGGAGUUUGAGUCCAGACCCGUAAGUUCUACCACUAUUUGUUCUGGUCUCCAGGGUGCAAUGAGGGCUUUGGUUCUGGUCCAGUCCACAGAUUGUGGUUCUGGUUCUGUUUCUGUUGGAAGUUCUGGGUGAAUCAGUCCGAAUCUGAUCUGAGUUCAGCCGUCAGGUCUUUUACUGACUGAUGUCUGUGUGUCAGGUGUUCUUCUGUUCUGGUUCUGAUCCAAAAGGUACUCACAAUCAGAACUUCAGGUUCUUCGGUUCUGAUUGAGAUUAAUCAGCUGUAAGAUCAACCUUUCAAAGACCUGACCCCCAAACAUCAGCUGUGUCUGUCACCUGUCACUCACCUGAGCAUUGGCUCCACCCCCUGUGUUACUGUGUGUGUGUGUGUGUGUGUGUGUGUGUGUGUGUGUGUGUGUGU